rnacentral:rRNA from 1 species
CAGCUCAAAUUUGAAAUCUGGCCUCGGCCCGAGUUGUAAUUUGCAGAGGAUGCUUCUGGCGCGGUGCCUUCCGAGUUCCCUGGAACGGGACGCCACAGAGGGUGAGAGCCCCGUAUGGUCGGACACCAAGCCUGUGUGAAGCUCCUUCGACGAGUCGAGUAGUUUGGGAAUGCUGCUCUAAAUGGGAGGUAAAUCUCUUCUAAAGCUAAAUACCGGCCAGAGACCGAUAGCGCACAAGUAGAGUGAUCGAAAGAUGAAAAGCACCUUGAAAAGGGGGUUAAAUAGUACGUGAAAUUGUUGAAAGGGAAGCACUUGUGACCAGACUUGGGCCGGGCGGCUCAUCAGGGGUUCUCCCCUGUGCACUCCGCCCGGCACAGGCCAGCAUCGGUUCUCGUGGGGGGAUAAGACCGUCGGGAACGUAGCACCCUCCGGGGUGUGUUAUAGCCCGGCGGACGAUACCCCCGUGGGGACCGAGGUUCGCGCUCCGCAAGGAUGCUGGCGUAAUGGUCACCAGUGACCCGUCUUGAAACACGGACCAAGGAGUCGUCCAUUAGAGCGAGCGUUUGGGUGUAAAACCCGCACGCGUAAUGAAAGUGAACGCAGGUGAGAGCUUCGGCGCAUCAUCGACCGAUCCUGAUGUUCUCGGAAGGAUUUGAGUAAAAGUUUUAACGGACGGACCCGAAAGACAGUGAACUAUGCUUGUAUAAGGUGAAGCCAGAGGAAACUCUGGUGGAGGCUCGCAACGGUUCUUACGUGCAAAUCGAUCGUCAAAUAUGAACA